CAAGGUAUAAGACUCUUCUUCCCGAAUUUACUACAUACACUUAUUAACUUCCCGUCUAACGACCAACAAACUACGUAAACACGAGCAGCCGCCCUGCCACGUUCCGCGUUGAGGCUGCGCCAAGGAGCGGCCAACCUACCGCAAGUCCGCGUUGGGGCCGCACGUGACUCAUGACGGAGCCGAUGUUGGAGAGAGCCACUUGACAUCGCUGUAGCACACGCACCCCCAGUUCGUGCUAUCGCGACUACCCACGGCAGAGGCAGCUGACCUCUUGGCGUCCAGCGCCGAGUGCGGCGACGAGAUGACCCCAGUAGUCGGAAACAUGAGCGCAACGCGCACGUGAGUCACUUGGUUGUCUCAGCACCUACGUCACACUCGCCAUUCGGUCUCGGCGUUAAGCAACUUGUACCCCACGAUAACACUACUAGAGUACGGAGUGCGAGAUAUCUCCAUGGGUGGUAACUCUGAAGACCCUUUGUGACGAGGCUGGCCGACCUCCACAGCGGCAGCCACUUUCUCGCGGUACCUCUCCUCUCGAAAGCGGUGAAGGAGGUGGUGCUGUAAAGUUUCGUCAACAACGGAGGGGUAGCGAGUCAUCGUGCUCGUCGCCACCUUCGUCCUGGUACGGCAGAACCUGGUCCAGCGCAGGGGUCUUCACCUGUUACUUCCGGAAACUGUCGAUACAAAGGUACUUUACGUUUGACGCCGCCUACUGGUGUGAGGAGGUAUCUCUGUUC
rnacentral:rRNA from 1 species